rnacentral:snoRNA from 1 species
UGUCAACACAUUAAAUGCCCUCGGCAGUUGUUUGCACUUGUCCUGCCGCGAGGUCCUGAGGUGUGUGAGA